rnacentral:rRNA from 1 species
UACGGAGGGUGCAAGCGUUAAUCGGAAUUACUGGGCGUAAAGCGUGCGCAGGCGGUUUUGUAAGUCUGUCGUGAAAUCCCCGGGCUUAACCUGGGAAUGGCGAUGGAGACUGCAAGGCUAGAAUCUGGCAGAGGGGGGUAGAAUUCCACGUGUAGCAGUGAAAUGCGUAGAGAUGUGGAGGAACACCGAUGGCGAAGGCAGCCCCCUGGGUCAAGAUUGACGCUCAUGCACGAAAGCGUGGGGAGCAAACAGG